ACUAAAUUCUACAGGGACUUCAGGUUACGAAAAAAAGAAGGGAAGGUAUUCAGGGCUGGUGAAGGUGCAGACGCUCACUCUGCUGCGGACGGCCUCCUUCAGCUUGCAGCUGGAGUCUUCUGUGAUGGACGAGGCUGCUGUUGCUGGUUUGAUACGCUGGACGUAAGACAUUUGUACAGAAACUCUUGCUCCACGUUGAUGUCAGUGGUGGUCUUGUGUUUGGAGAUGGGGGUCCUGCAAGCGCUGGGGAACUCAAAGUCCCAGUCACAGUUGACAGUCAGAGGCAGGACCAGGUCUGGCUUCCUGCAGGAGGCACAGCAGCAUCGGGGGGCAUGGCUCAGCAGACGAUUCUUCUGAAGAAGUUAACAGCAUAAAGUACUCUGCAGMCAUUCAGUGUGGACACCAGGUUAUAUCAGCUGUACCGGUGAACACCUCCCGCUUGUGAAAUGCCUGACAGAGGGCACAGCAUGAUCAAAGGUGUGUUUUGAUGUGAGCGAGGAUUCCAACCYCCAGUCCCGUCAUCGCCACCUCACCCCCUCUAAGAUAUCCAUUGAACCAACUGAGGGCCCAAGGCUGGUUAAGAGAGACCGCUAGAGACACUUAUGUAAUUGUAAUGACCUGAGAGAAUAUGAAGUUCAGUAGCACUGUAAUUCAUUAAUCAUGUGUCGUCGUCCCAGCUCCUCUCCMCACCUCUUCUUUCUUCCUCUGUUGUUUUAAUGCACACCAGAUGUGCAUCGAAGUACAGAUUGAACUUGUAUUUAUAAUGCAUUUAUAACACUUGGAUAAUGAACUUCCAAUAAAGCAUUUCACAUUCUC